rnacentral:rRNA from 1 species
GAUGAACGAGGGAGGGGGGAAGAAUACAUGCAAGUCGAGCGAACAGAUGAGGAGCUUGCUCCUCUGACGUUAGCGGCGGACGGGUGAGUAACACGUGGAUAACCUACCUAUAAGACUGGGAUAACUUCGGGAAACCGGAGCUAAUACCGGAUAAUAUAUUGAACCGCAUGGUUCAAUAGUGAAAGACGGUUUUGCUGUCACUUAUAGAUGGAUCCGCGCCGCAUUAGCUAGUUGGUAAGGUAACGGCUUACCAAGGCAACGAUGCGUAGCCGACCUGAGAGGGUGAUCGGCCACACUGGAACUGAGACACGGUCCAGACUCCUACGGGAGGCAGCAGUAGGGAAUCUUCCGCAAUGGGCGAAAGCCUGACGGAGCAACGCCGCGUGAGUGAUGAAGGUCUUCGGAUCGUAAAACUCUGUUAUUAGGGAAGAACAAAUGUGUAAGUAACUAUGCACGUCUUGACGGUACCUAAUCAGAAAGCCACGGCUAACUACGUC